UACAGAGGUCCCAAGCGUUGUUCGGAUUCAUUGGGCGUAAAGGGUGCGUAGGCGGUUUUAUUAGUCUCCCGUUAAAUCUUUCGGCUCAACCGAGAGUCCGCGGGGGAAACGGUAAAACUUAGAGGAUGGUAGGGGUCUCUGGAACUCAUGGUGUAGCGGUGAAAUGCGUUGAUAUCAUGGGGAACACCGAAAGCGAAGGCAAGAGACUGGACCACUCCUGACGCUGAAACACGAAAGCGUGGGUCGCGAAUGGG
rnacentral:rRNA from 1 species